UUCUUUUUUUCCUGCUAAAAUGUAACAUCUUUCAUCGUUUCAUUUUACGUCGUUUCAGUGGCUGGUGUGGGCUUGUGUAAAAUAAGCUCCAUUUGCUGGGUGUAACUUAAUAAUGAAAAGUGAUCAGGGUAGGCCCGCGCUUCCCAGUUUGAAAACCAGUUAGGAGGCCGACAUGGGGCUCCUGUUGGUUGGGGAUUUUAGCUGCUUGAAAAUUGCUAUUAUUGGACGUGUUUUGCCUAAAACUGACAGAUAUCCCCUGCCAACUUCCGAGCACUCUGCCAUUUAUGUUGUUUGACGUCUGUGUCAAUGAAACGAAGCACGCAGUCCCCGCCAGGGUCCCCGACGCCUGCUCCCCGGGCCCCCGAAGAGGAACCGGCGGCGCAAUGUCACACACCUGUUUGGCUGGAGGCUGCGGCCCGGCGACGCUCGCAGCCGGGGGUGCCGCGUUGGCACCUUUGCCAACUGAACCACCUCCCCGCCGCCACCGCCCCCCCUUACUCCCCCCCCCUCGUCGUCGACUGCUACGCCCUGUGGAUGUGUCAAAAUGGCAGAUGAUGGUUGGGGUGUGUGCAGCUGCUGGGGAAGAGGAGUGCCAAGGGCGCUCGUUUCCUGCGGAAACUCUUGGAAGGCAAAAGCAACAUCCUGAGCUGGUGAGGAGACAGCAGAGGUGCUGACACGCCGACAGGCAGGGGAUCCUGGGAAAAGCCACAGACAGGAAGAGCCUGACUGGCUUUGACCCGCCGGGUCAAGGCUGGGGGCUCGGCAACUGAAAGAUGUUUCCAAGCCACACUCGCGCGAUCAUCCACUUUUUUUUUUCUUUUUUACAGGAAACAACUUCCAAAUGCUGUGAAAUAUGCAGGCAGAUCAUUUUUUUCCCCCUCUCGUUUUAUUGCUCGCUCUUUUGUUUGGCUCUCCCGCGACAUGAAAUGCGAUUUGGCCUUGAGCUAUAUUUGACUUAUUUGUUCCAGGGUCACUGUAUGUAAUUGCACAGAGCUUAAGUCCACAUCCCUUUUCUACUAUGUGAAGAUACCCCCCCACCUCCCACGCCACUCACCCCCCAUCUCCAUUUCACUCUCAACAUGUGCUAUGACUAAUACAGUUAUGCUGUGAAGGCCAGAAUGACACCAUACAAAGGUUUAGUAGGGCCACGCUCAAAAGUAAAUACAUAACUAGCAUAAUAAAAUUACAGCGGGAAUUCAAUGUUGUCAUGUCACAAGAACACAUUUGAAAUGUUAUGAGGAAAAAAAGUCAUGUCAAGAGAGGGAAGCCAUGCUACAACAAUAAAUGCGUCAGUCACGUUACAAAAAUAAACUUGCAAUGAUACGAGAAUUAAAAAAAAAAAAAUUGUGAGAAUAAAAUAGUAUUGUUAGAGAUAAUUGUAAUAUGGCGAAAAGUCACACGGAAAGAAGUUAUCACGUAAUAUCAAUCAAUGGGGGAAAGUCAAUAUUACCACAAGGAUGGUAUACAAGAAGAGUCAGUCACGUCACUAAUAAAACUGUUGCACUGCUACAAGAAUCAAAUAUUAAAAUUAGCUGAAUAGUGUUGAAAUGCUAUGAGUAAACCGUUACUUCCAAAAAGUUGUACAUAACAGAGGGGCAUUCAUAAUUUUACGAGAAUAAAAGAGUUAAUACGAGAAAAGACUCGAGUCAUGUUACGAACAGAAAUGUAACGUUAUGGAAAAAAAGUUACAAUGUCACGAGAACUUGGGUUGUAAAAUUUUGGGGAUGAAAACAGAAUUUUAAGGAGUAAACUUUAAAAUUUCCACACAUAAAAGCAUGUAAUACAUCCUAGUAUCAAGAGAAUAAAGUUGGAAUGUUAUGAGAUUAAGAGUCACAUUAGCCGUAAAAAUGCUCACGAAAACUAAAAUGAACAAUAACUUUUUAAAACUGUGAGAACAGAGUCGUAAUAUUACGAGGAAACACUCGUAACAAGUCGUAGUAUGACGAGAAUGAAGUUGAAAUGUUAUGAAACAAAAAAUGUUUGAACGAAAAUAAUGUGACGAAAAAAUUCCAAUUAUGAGAAUGAAGACAUAAUGAUAAAAGAAUACAGUCUUCAUUUUCCGGGCACAAAUGAUGGUUAACGUCAUUGUAUUACAAGAAAUAGCUAUAAAAAAUAACAAAUAAAAUAUGUCAUAUUAAAAGUAUAGUCGUACGAAAAGAGGGUUCAGAUGUUAUGUAUGAUGAUAUUGUGACAUUUUUGCUCAGAAUAUUAAGACUUCAGUCUGUCAAAUUAUGCCUUUUCUUGUAAUAGUCUUUUUUUCAAUUUCUUGCAGCAAUUCUUUCCCCAUCCUGACUCUUAUAUAAUUUAUAUAUGUAAAAAAAUCAUAAAAUUAAUACUUGCCUCGUAAGAUUUUUUUUCUCUGCAUUUACGACGUUAGUGUGUAAAAUUCUCUUAAUAUUGCCACUUUAUUCUUGAAAUAAUUUCACCUUUUAGAUAGCGGUUAUAUGACAGGAAGGAAUAAAGCUGUGAAGAAUAAAGUUGUAAUGUUAUGAAAUUGUAGUCAAAAUAUUAGGAGAGUCAUUAUGCUGUGAGUAUACACUACACUAGUAAGAUGACCAAACUAAACUGUAAGGUGAAGAUAAAAAAAUGAAGACAGAACAAAAGGUACAAAAAUCGUCACACUUUUGCAGUAACAAAUAGGGAAAAACUAUACAAACAUAAAAUGAUGAAAAAAGGAUAUGAGCCAAUCCCAGGUUGAUUAUUUUUUUUACUUAGUUUCACAAGGUCAAAGUUUGACAUACACGUGUGCCACCGCUUUUCUGUUAUUUAUUGAACGGGACAAAUAAUUGUUUGCUGUUGAUAAUGCGAAAUAGCCAAAAUACAAUGGAACGCGUACAAGGAGCUGCUGUAAACCACAGCUCACGCCCAGAUGCUCGCACAAAGAAUAACCGUCCAGCUAGACGUACGUGCGGAAACUAUGCUUUCACAUUCUCUUUUGAAAUAUAAUACACCGAUAUUGUUCUUUAAGAAAAUCGACAACAAAAAAUUAGAAGGGCAUUGCAAUUACUUUUGAAGGACAAAAUUGAUUUCAUAUGAUCUUCAUAACUGACAUGACUAUAGACUUGUGGUCUACUAUAGAGUAUAUGUAUUACCAUUCUAUUUUUUUUUUUGUGGUUUCAUUUUGGCGAGGAAGUGUUUAUCUUACCACCCCAAAAAAUGGCAGCAUGUACUCAAAAUCCCCUCGUUAUAGUGAAUUAUUCCCAAUAUCAAUAAAAAAAAAAAAAAUCUGCAUUGCACUGAAUGCACAGGAGGUUAACAGCAAGGUAAAACUGCAUUUUAGUGAGGCUGGAAGAGCUGUUAAUACAGUGUCCCUCUCUGACAAGUGUUUUGAAUUAGGCAGAUUGUAUCUUUUUUUUUUUUUUUUAAAUGUUUUUUCUCGCCGCACGUCUGUGUGAAGGUCUCCGAAGGCCUCUUAGAGUCAAACCAAAAGAUGGUGAGGGGAGAUUGUCCUCUAGCCAGUCGUGCACAAUGACACAUAAAUCAAGGCCUCCGUCGUUUGUCACCCCUUCUGUCUCGGCAGCUCCUGGCUCGGACCCCACCGUUGUACCGAUUCAGAUUUUUUUUUUUUUUUUUUUUUUUUAAUGGCCCAAAUGUAUAUCCAUCAAGGCUUUCCGAGUGGCUCUCCAGCCGCCAAACCGCCCCGGCGAUCGAUGGGCGCGCCGUACCCUCCCUCUCGGCCCUGUGCUCACGCUCUUGCCUGCGUGGGAAGGGGGUAAGAGGAACCUCAUUUUAGCUGGUUUUCGCCUCGGGCCACUACUGUGAUUUUACCCCAUGCUCCUGGCCUGACGUCAUUAAAGAUGCAUGAUGAUGGAUACCGUGAAUUCAACCUCACCGAGGGGGUUUUGAGGUGAAGAAAAAAAAAAGAGAGAGAGAGAAAGAACCUUGCUUGUUUUUCAGAUCACACUAAGAAUAAAUCAAGACUGUUUAAAUGUUGAGGUUGCAAGUGGAUGCAUGUGACUAAUCUCUCAGUUGCACAUCAGAGGCGGGCAGACGGAAGGGAGAAAAGGCAGACGGGCCUCGCCGGUGGAGAGGCGCCUCCUGGCCAGUUGGUGGUGCUCCUGCCACAGUCAAUCCCCGCUAACAACACUUUGCAAAAACGUUGAUUUGCCACAGGAGGUGUGAAAGCAGAGCGCAGACCUCCUCCAUGGCCUGAGCUCCUCGUGUUUCCAAAAGUGGGAGUGACAGAAUGCGGGAGAGACAUUUGACAGCUGUGCUCCCCGGGUUCAAAGGUCGUGUCAAGCGGUGGACGAGUCUCAAGGUAAAGAGCCUGACAAGGGUCCGCCCGCCCGCCCGGUCAAUGGCUCUCGUUUCGGGGGCCCGGCUGCAGUAAUGGGACCUCAUUCAUGUGUCAGCUCGCCAAGGAAAAGUCCGGGGAAAAGAGAUUGAACUUUUAAACGAUGCAAUUUCCAGCCGAAAGGCGUCAUACUGUAUGCACGCUGAGGUCUUAUCAGUGUCUUCCUGCCUGUCCGGCCACUCCCGCCUGUCUUCCUACACUUUAAGCCAAUCUCUUGAUGUAACUGAGUAAAAAUACUUUGCUAAACCACUUGCGUUCACUGCCAGCGGUUGCCAGAGUAAUACCUGAUCUUUCACGAUCCAGAAGGUUGUAUUCUGUCAUGAUAUACAUGCUGUAAGCACAUCCCAUUGGGAAAAAGUACACUCUUCUUUUAUCAGAAAAAAAAAAAAAUUCUACCUUUUCCCAUUGUUUACUAAUCAGCAGUAGAACAUAGGUUGGUUUUGUCAAAAAUGACAAAGGUUCUGUUUGCGGAUACAUAGAUAUACAUCCUGCUUGAUCGUAUGUUCAAAUUGAGGAAAUGUGGGCAUCUUGCUCUGAAUAGCUGUUUUUUGCUAUAAAAGUUACAAAUAUGAAUGUUUCCAAAACAAAAGCUUUUUGGUUGGUUCCAAAACCUUCUCAUGUUGCAUGGUGCAGAGUUCCACACAACACAUGCAGAAAUUAGGCUUGAAAAGCAUCCUACUUGAUAUUAUGUCCAAAUUGAAGAAAUGUGCGCAUCUUGCUCUCCAAAGCUGUUUUUCACUAUAAAAAAAAGUCACAAACAUGAAUAUUUCAAAAGUAAAGCUUUUUGGUUGGUUCCAAAGGCUUCUAAUGUCGCGUGGGGGAGAGUUUCAAGCAGUGCAUGCAGAAAUUAGGCUUGAACAUGUAGCGACGUGUGUGAACUUGUAACGUAUGGAAUAGAUAAUGCAGUAUGUGUGGAGCCUCAAAACGUGACCAGCAGUCACAGUCAGUUGGUAUGUCCACGAAGGUCAGUUGGCACGUGUGCAGGUGCGAGUCGCAGACUGUCAUUUGUUUGCUGUUGUCCAGUUCAUGUGCAUUCGGCCAAAGUCUCUCUCUCUUAGAAUACGGCGCUUGUUUGCCAGUCUUAGCGGCUAGAAGCUAGCUACCGGGGUACGCCAUCAGCUCACGACUUCCUAAAGACUAAUUUUGCCAGGCUGUUUAAUCAUCGAAAAUGAAUCUGCACACAAAACUUUGACUGUGACAGCCUGACAGUUGCAGGUCCUACCGAUCCAUUUUUAUAAACAAGGGAAUGCGCUGUGUGACAUCACUUCCUCCCUUUUGGCCGAAGAAAGAACGCUAUGUCAAAUUCUCGCAUCUUUUUCGCAUAGAAUGAUGUAAAAAUGGCAGCUUGCAAUGAGUGUUUCAAAAGUAUUUUUUAGAAUAUAUACUCUAAAUACAUCAAUGAUUAAAAUAAAUAAAAAUAGAAUCACUAUUCUCGCCGCUCCCCUUUUUUUCGUACUUUUACUUCCAAUACUUAAGUACAUCUAAUAUCAGAAAAAUGACUUUUUGAAACUUAAAUAUAACAAAUGUAAUUUUCUACAAGGUGACUUCUGCCAGCGUAAUUGUAAUCUAUUGAGAUACUUGUACUUUUACUCAAGUAUCUCGUGCAGGUACUCUAUCCAAGGCUGCUUUUAGCCUGACCGCAUUGAGGCUCCGAGCGCACUGUUCCAGCAUCCCGCCUUAACCGUCCCGCAGCUCGGGGAGUUGAAUCCGGCCCCCUCACUGGAAGACCCUGAAAUAAGGCCUUUAUCAGUCGGGCCCACACAGUAUCAGGGGGCUCCUCCGGCUGCCUCUGAUGUGAAGGGGAGAUGGACGGCGCCUCACGCCGGUCCUCUGGUCGAGCACCAGAACGGGAUUGGGGUUGGUUGGUGGUGGGGGGGGGACCAUUGUGGCGCUGGAAUUAGGCAGGCAUCAAACGGGAAGAAGAAGCCGUUGUUGAUGCAUUGUCUCAUGUUAUUUUAACCGGCUUAGCGCGAGAGCCUCUUCAUGCUAGAGUGUUGCGGGCGCUGGAUGCCGAUGAUGAUAAGUGGCGCAUUCUCUGUUAAGACCGCUAAGCUGCCACGCUGGCUCCACCAGCAACGUUCUGCAUUUGUGCGUGCGCGUGUGUGUGCAGAAUUUGGCUGCGUGGCUGAAGCCUUUUUCAAUAGGUUAGCACGGUCUUAUCCCGUCAAAAGCGCUGACUUGGCAGUCCGACGCGCAGCCUUUAUGGUGUCACCAGUGGGACCGCUCUUUAUUUCAUAAUGCUGACUUUUUUUUUUUAUAUGCAAGAGAUUUGAUAGGAGAGGUGGGGGGGGUCAACAUACUGUACACAAAGAAACUUUUGAAAUAUCUUGCGCACUCAGAUACUGUAGGAUCAAACUAGCCCAUUGUAAAGUUCAAAGGUUCGGAGGAGGAAAAAAAUCGAUUUUAAAAUGUAAAAUAAUAUUACCAAUGCUAUAUUCAUGUAUGUAUAUGUAUUCUUUGAGAAAAAGUUAUAAAAGUUGCAAUUUUAACAUAGAA